rnacentral:rRNA from 1 species
AGCGAACGCUGGCGGCAGGCUUAACACAUGCGAGUCGAGCGGGCAUCCUUGUGGUGUCAGCGGCAGACGGGUGAGUAACGCGUGGGAACGUGCCCUUCGGUUCGGAAUAACUCAGGGAAACUUGAGCUAAUACCGGAUACGCCCUUUUGGGGAAAGGUUUACUGCCGAAGGAUCGGCCCGCGUCUGAUUAGCUAGUUGGUGAGGUUAUGGCUCACCAAGGCGACGAUCAGUAGCUGGUCUGAGAGGAUGAUCAGCCACACUGGGACUGAGACACGGCCCAGACUCCUACGGGAGGCAGCAGUGGGGAUUAUUGGACAAUGGGGGCAACCCUGAUCCAGCCAUGCCGCGUGAGUGAUGACGGCCUUAGGGUUGUAAAGCUCUUUUCUCCGGGACGAUAAUGACGGUACCGGAGGAAUAAGCCCCGGCUAACUUCGUG